GCUCGUUCUCACUCGAAUUCGUCCGUCGUUUAGAGUAGAUAGAAGAAUCGCUUCUGAUUUGUUCGAUUCUGCUCGUCCUCAGUUCCUCUGUUCUGAACCGCGCCUGAUUCAGUUGAUUUCGCUCGUCCUCGAUUCGACCGUUUAGAUAGAAAUGCGCGUCCGGUUUGACUUGCUCGUCCUCGCCGUCGUCGUCAGUUCAGAGUCGCGUGUGAUUUGAUUCUUGCCAGUCCUCGCCGUUGCCCUGAUGCUCUCGCGUGUUCUUGGGGAUGUCUCGUCGGGGGUCCGCGACUCUGGGAGGAAGCGAGCGGUCCGUCGGUCGGUUUGGGUCACCGUCUUGUUUGCGAGCUAACCAGUCUAUUCGAGAAACUUGUUCGUGCGCUGAUGUUAUCUGACGAUCCUGCGUUUCAUUUUCGUGGUCGAGCGAUGGUUCCUGCGUUUCUGUUUGAGAACCUUGCGCGUGCGCGUCUGUUACCUGACGAUCCUGCAUUUCGUGCUAGCGGUGGAGCGAUGCUUCUUGCGUUUCUGUUUGAGAGACUUGUGCGUGCGCUUCUAUUAUCUUAUGAUCCUGCCUACGUUGUUCGUCGGUUAUUUUCAUAUCUCAAACGCAUGCGCCCUUGUGAUACUCUGGUUUCCCUCUGUCCAUUCUUGUUCUACCGGCAGGCGUGUGUGCUCCCGUCCUAGAUGCAGAGAAUCUUCUUCUUGUCUCUUAUGCUUGUUCUUGCUAUCAUGCUUUGCUUAUGUUCCAAUAUAUGAUGAUGAUGAGGCGUGUUCAACUUGUUUCUUGUUAUCAUGCUUUGCUUAUGUUUCAAUAUAUGAUGAUUCGUGUUCAAGGGCGCAAACCAUGUAGGCCGUGGGUACUGUGAUGUGAGGCUUCUUUCCUGUUGAUAAAUUAGGAUGAUAGGAUGAGAAGAAAAGCCUGACUCUUGUAACAAUCACUUGCUUGGUUUCCACUUCUUUGUGUGGCCGAUUUGGCAUCCAAUGCAUCAUAAUCACAUUUUCCCUGCUUGUUUUCAUAUCCAAUGCAUCCACUCAUCAGAGCACCCUUUUCCCUAUUUGUUUUCACUUCUUUUCCUAAUAAUUAAUCAUGUUUACCAAUACUACAUUUCUACUGCUCUUUGUUCCCUUUUGAAGUUCACUGAUUCAAAUCUGAUGUGACUUCUGUGUUAGUAUACUAGCCAUGAUGUGUUUUAUUCAAGUUAUUAACCUACAAAUUUGGCUUGAGAUGCUACAUGUUUAUAUGGCACGAUUGAUUGUUGUUUGCGUAUGGUUAUUAUGAUUGAUUGAAUGAUUGCUAUUUGUUGAUUGAUUGAUGUUUGCUGUUUGUUGAUUGAUUGCUUGAUUGCUUGAUUGCUUGUUGUUUGUUGAUUGCUAUCAAACUUUGGUAUUUGUAGUUCCUGAUCUUAGGUAACAGACCUUGCACUAUUCUUUUUUCUGAACUUUUUUGUGAUUAUGCAAUGCUUUUCUAAGUAUUUAAGGUACAAACAUGUUGAUAUGGACACAUCCCAUUUGCUCUUUAUUGUGUUGCUAAGGACACUGAUGGGUUGAGUUGGCAUAUAGUGCAGGUAUAUUUACAUUCUGUACAUUUUGUGAUGCUGAUGCCUGUAGUCCCAAAGUGUUUAUUUACCCAAAUUUUGCUACUGGAACUUUUGGUUUUAGAUAUUGGCACCUGAUAUUUGAAUGGAUGUUUUCAUGAUGCCUAAUUUGAUUCAUUAUCGUUGUUCUGAUGGUGUGCUACUGGUGUUUUAACUGAAGCCGUGGAUCGCUCAUCAACCUGCUGAGCUCUUUCUGGAUAGGACAGAGGUACAAUAUUUACAUCCAUGGCAGAAGGUUCUUAACCCUGAACUCAUCAAAGGUCCUUGGACUCAAGAGGAAGAUGACAAAAUUAUUGAUCUUGUAAGAAAGUAUGGACCAACAAAAUGGUCUCAUUGCAAGGACCUGCAGAAGGACCCUCCCACCUCAGUGCAGGAAGGUCCUGUAGGUGAGGACAUGUUCCACUGGCAGGCCAGUAUCAUGGGACCCUUGGACAGCCCGUUUACUGGUGGCCUAUUUUUGGUGAACAUCCAUUUCCCACUGGAUUAUCCCUUCAAGCCCCCGAAGACAUGAACAUAUUUCAAGUCUCUUUCCGCACCAAGGUGUUCCACUUCCACUUCCACCCAAACAUUAACAGCAAUGGCAACAUUUGCCUUGACAUUCUCAAGGAACAGUAGAGCCCGACUUUGACCAUAUCAAAGGUCCUCCUGUCAAUCUAUUUGUUGCUGACGGACCCCAACCCCAAUGAUCCUCUGGUGCCUGAGAUUGCUCACAUGUACAAGACUGAUUGGGCCAAGUAUGAGUCCACGGCAUGCUCCUCGACACAGAAGUACGCCAUGGGUGGAUGUAUAGGCAAGCAAUGUCGAGAGAGUUCUUCUUAGCUAUAGCUAAAGUCAAAGACGACAAACCAGGUGACUUAUUGGAGUUGCAGGACUAUAAAUCAUCGGUCAUAUGAAUCUUCAUUUGUAAAUAUGACUGCUGGUGCUGCCGAUGAUGCUAGCCAUCGGCUUGGAACUAAUGAGAGACAACCGCUGUUGCCAACUUGAAACAUAUACUUUUUAGGUAUGAAUGGCUUACCUCUCCUCCUCUCGCGUCUGGUGAAGCAAUUCAUCCUCGGUUCGUGCCUCUCCUCCUCUCGCGUCUGGUGAGGCAAUUCGUCCCCGAUUCCCUCUCCUCUCGCCUCUGAUUCGUCCAUUUAGAUUAGAAGAAUCGCAUAUGAUUUGUCAUUUUGCUCGUUCUCGAUUCAUCUGCCUUGAAGUGCGUCUAAUUCGACUGAUUUUGCUCGUCCUAGAUUCACUCGUUUAGAUAGAAAAUCACGUUUGGUUUGAUUUACUCGUCCUCCUCGUCACUUUAGAGUCGCUUGUGAUAUGAUUUUGCUUGUCCUCGCUGUCGCCCUGAUGCUCUCGCGUGUUCUUGGGGCCGUCUCGUCUGGGGUCUCUGUCCCUACGACUCUGGGAGGAAGCGGGUGAGCAAGCGAGCGGUCGGUCGGUCUGGUUUGUGAACUAAAGUCUGUUUGAGAAACUUCUGUUCCUGCGUUUCGUGUUCACGGUGGAGCGAUAUUUCCCGUGUUUACUUGUGCAUGCGCUUCUGUUAUCUAACGAUCAUGCGUUUCGUGUUCACGGUGGAGCGAUAUUUCCUGCGUUUACUUGUGCACGCGCUUCUGUUAUCUAUCGAUCCUGUGUUUUGUGUUCGUGUCAGGGCGACGGUUGCAGGAACGAUGGGUUCUUGGUUCGGAAAUUGGAGCAGUGUCAAAUCGUUCCCUCUAUUCCACCACAUGCGUUGUUCGUCGAUUAUUUUCAUAUCUCAAACGCAUGUGCUUGAUACUCUGGUUGCCCUUUGUCGAUCCUUGUUUUACCGACAGGCGUGUGUGCUCCCAUCCUAGAUGUAGAGAAUCCUGUUCUUGCCUGUUACAGUUGUUCUGAUGCUGUUCUUUUCAAUUGUUUAUUGUUAUCAUGGUUUGCUUAUGUUCCCAUAUGGCACGAUUGAUUGAUUGUUGUUUGUUGUUUGAUUGAUUGGCUUGAGAUGGAUUGUUGUUUAUUGUUUGAUUGAUUGGCUUGAGAUGGAUUGUUGUUUGUUGUUUGAUUGAUUGCCUUGAGAUGGAUUGUUGUUUGUUGUUUGAUUGAUUGCCUUGAGAUGGAUUAUUGUUUGCUGUUUGAUUGAUUGCCUUGAGAAGGUACAAACCAUGUAUGCCGAUUGAUUGUUGUUUGUUGCCUUGAGAUAUUACAUGUUUACAUGACACGAUUGGUUGUUGUUUGUUCAUGGUUAUUACAAUUGAUUGAUUGUUGUUUGUUGAUUGGAAUCUAAUUUUGGUAUUGGUAGUAGGUAACAGACCUGGCGCUAUUAUUUUUCUGAACUUUUUUGUGAUUAUUAUGCCUUCACAUUACACUGCUCCCAGAUUCAUAUCGACAUGCCCACGCUGUCUGACGAGGAUAAAGAUGUUAUGAAAAAAUGGGAUGCUCCAAACAAGAUUGACUUCCUAUCUUUCUUAUACAAGGCAUGCAGAAGAUGUGUGGCAAUGUUCUUAUUUCAGAAGUUUGCUCUGCACAAGUGCAACAUGGCUGGAAAACCUGCUGCUGUUACUUGUGUUGUGGACAGUAUGACGGACAACCUAAGGCCUACUCGUGCAGAUGCAACUGAUGUGGCAAAUGCAGUGCUGGAUGUGAUGCCAUUCUCCUUGGUGCCGAGACUCUCCGUGGGUUGUAUCCAGUUGGGAUUUAAACGGCUGAGAAUGUCUUCAACCAGGAUUUGUACUUCAAGCGAACCAUGAAAUACGUGGGAGAACCCAUGACCCACAUGGAGUCUAUUGCUUCCUCUGAAGUGCAGGCUUCUAUCAAAGUUAAGACUUCGGUCAUCAUUUUCUUCACCUCAUCUGGACAGGAGAAAAAGAGUAUUUCUUCUUAUAGGCGCCUCACCUCAUCUUUGUAGUUUAAUGGAAAUUGAUUGAUAUAUUAUGCUGUAUCGAGUAUCUGCAGGCCAAUUGCCAAGUACAGGCCCACCAUGCCAUUCCUCGUCUAAAAACAAAUCAAUUGAAGUGGAGCUUCACAGGGGCAUUUGAAGCAAGACAAUCACUCAUAGUUAGAGGCCUCUUUCCCAUGCUUGCUGAUCCACGUCACCUGGAACGAAGAUCUGGAUCACCCUCGCCCCUCUAGAGAAAUCAGUUUACUCAUUCAAGUUCUGGAAAUUUUUUGUAGCCUUUUGAGUUUACUUCGGUCUUGCAUGUAUUAGCUUUCUGUUUGUGCCCCUAUUUAUGUAUGUUUCUUGUGUGCAAGUGCUCCGUUCUGUGUGUGUGUGACUUGUGUGUGGCUUGACUCUGUGUGUGUGGCUUGACUUUGUGUGUGUGGCUUGACUGUGUGUGUGUGUGGCCUGACUGUGUGUGUGACUCUGUGUGGCUUGACUAUGUGUGUGUGACUCUGUGUGGCUUGACUAUGUGUGUGUGAUUCUGUGUGUGCUUGAUUCUCUGCUUGUGUGACUCUGUGUGAAUGUUGCAUUUGUUUGAUGGUGUGGCCUGUAUGCUUGAUUGAUGAUUGGUGUGGUUAACACUGCCUUUGCCGGUCCCAAGCCCGGAUGUGAAAAUGUGGAGGGAGCUGCAUUUACCUCCUUUGUAUUUUAUAUAUAUUCACCUUCUAACAUUUGUGGCUGAUGGCAUUCUAGUUUACUUAGACGGUUAGCUUGUUAAUUAGUUUUGUGCAUGCAAGACUUGAAAUCUAGCUGAUGUUACUUUCUGUGCAUGAUAAAUUGUUUUGUUGUGCACCUUUUAAAAGAUGUGGUCCGUCUUCCCCUCUAUUUCCUCUUUUGGAUGUUAAAUAGCAUUUGCUAUGUUUCUGAAUUGAUUAUCUGUUGUAAGAUAUGGUUAGCAUAUAUAGUUCAGAGAUAAAUGUCUUUGUUUGCAGCAGUACAUUUUAUUCAUUUCAAUGGUGAUUUUACUACAGUUUUUUGUGUGUUGGAACUCUUGCGGAAGUUCUCUGUACCCCAGUACCAAUGUAUAUCUAUUUCAGUGUCAUUUUGUACUAUAACAUCACAGAAACCGGUGGUAUAUUUGAGAUGAGUGAUGUGAUUAGAUUGUACCAGACAUGCGACUGUAGGAGCUUAGUGUAUGAGUAUGUGCCCCGUGACCGCAAUUAUCUAGUUACUUUAACAGGACUAGCUAGUUACUUUUGAACAAUCAGGUAGUUUACAAUAUGCAGUUUUACUUGUAUUCAGGAAUGGAGCUUCUUCACUUCCUAGAUGCAGCAGGUUGUCCAUGUUGUGUGUUCAAUUUCUUUGAUUCACCUUUAUUUUCAUUUCAGCAGGUUGUCCAUGUUGUGUGUUCCGUAUGGAUUAGAUGCCGUCUGACUAGUUUGUCUUCGAUGUCGCAGCCCCUCAUUGGGUCUUUAGUACUUCUUUUGUGUGUUCAAUUUUUAAUCCCCAUUACGUGUGAUGCUCUUUGUUUAUGUGUAAUUUGAACCUCUGGUUGUGCUCUUGUGAGUUGUGAGCGGUGUCUCUGCUCGUGUGGGCACACAUGAUUUGAACCGCGAUUCUGCUAGUGAGGUAAGCAUAAUUUCAGCGGUGUUUCCAUGGGAUUUUGAACUAUGUCUGUGUUACGAUCUUGUGAAAACAUUGCGUGAAUAUUUAUUGCCAAUUGUGUGUCAUGCUAAUACUGCCUUUGGUUGAUUGUGUGGCUUGUUGCUUAGCUGAAUGAUUGGU